CAUCUACUGUGCAGUAGACGAUGCAGUAGCACACCAGAGCGGCCGUUACUACAGUGACUGUAGGGAGCUGCGGACAUACAGGCUGGCCAACGACGACAGCCUCGCUGCUAAACUCUGGGCGACCAGUGAACGCGACGUCAAACUUGCGCCUCAUGAGGCCAAUAUAUAACUCUGCACAACGGGGGACGUCAAACUUGCGCCUCAUGAGGCCAAUAUGCGUAGAUGAAUAAAUACUCUGCAUCAGAGCAUAAUAAAUUAACGUUCUGACUGAACAUAAAACAGCCUUAGUAAAAUCGUAUCAAUCUGAAAA